rnacentral:lncRNA from 1 species
UUGAAUCGAUCCGUAUGAGGAUCGAGUUAACUGUAUCGCCCGGGCUCACGAUUCCAAUCCCAAAAGGGAUUCAGCCCAGCCUUUCUAUCUAUCACUAUCAGAAGUUUUAGUCUUCGAAGAGAGGACUGAUUGCCAUGGAGUAGCGAUCGAAAGACUAAAUCCACUUCCCUCAAGUGCUUUCUUUCGGGGAUGGAUGAAAGGCUCUACCUAUAUAAAUUUUUCCAAUUAGGGAUUUUCCUAUAAUGAUCUCCAUGAAUAGAUGUUUCCAACUAUGGGUCUCGAGCAGUAGAGAAGAACG